GACGAACGCUGGCGGCAUGCCUAACACAUGCAAGUCGAACGGAGAUUAUUUCGAUAAUCUUAGUGGCGAACGGGUGAGUAACGCGUGGGCAACCUGCCCUCUAGAUGGGGACAACAUCCCGAAAGGGGUGCUAAUACCGAAUGUGACAGCAAUCUCGCAUGAGGAUGCUGUGAAAGAUGGCCUCUAUUUAUAAGCUAUCGCUAGAGGAUGGGCCUGCGUCUGAUUAGCUAGUUGGUGGGGUAACGGCCUACCAAGGCGAUGAUCAGUAGCCGGUCUGAGAGGAUGAACGGCCACAUUGGGACUUAGACACGGCCCAGACUCCUACGGGAGGCAGCAGUGGGGAAUCUUCCGCAAUGGGCGAAAGCCUGACGGAGCAAUGCCGCGUGAGUGAUGAAGGAAUUCGUUCCGUAAAGCCCUUUUGUUUAUGACGAAUGUGCAAGUUGUGAAUAAUGACUUGUAAUGACGGUAGUAAACGAAUAAGCCACGGCUAACUACGUGCCAGCCGCCGCAGUAA
rnacentral:rRNA from 1 species